rnacentral:rRNA from 1 species
CCCUUAGAUGUCCGGGGCUGCACGCGCGCUACACUGAAGGAAUCAGCGUGCUAAAACCAUUGUCGAAAGGCAUUGGUAAACCCAUUAAAAUCCUACGUGAUUGGGAUCGGGAAUUGCAAUUAUUUCCCUUGAACGAGGAAUUCCCAGUAAGUGUGGGUCAUAAGCUCGCGUUGAUUACGUCCCUGCCCUUUGUACACACCGCCCGUCGCUGCCGGGACUGAGCCGUUUCGAGAAAAGCGGGGACUGCUGCUGUCGGGGCUUUCAGGCCUUGGCUUCGGUGGAAACCGCUUUAAUCGCAGUGGCUUGAACCGGGCAAAAGUCGUAACA